rnacentral:lncRNA from 9 species
GAACAUCCCACAGUCACAUAAGAAAGUUCUUUGGAAACAAAGCAGAACAACCAACUAACCAACCAACAAAACUGUGAAGAUGAAAGCUUUUGUUCCAAAUGCGUUACUAUCGGACUUUCCCAACCUUCCUCUCCAACCUGUCUAGACCUGCACUGAUUGCUGGCUGUUUGGGAAAUCCAUCUGCCACCUACUCCAUCUUGUUCGUGCCUGUUUUUCUUCUUUAAUGACAGAUGUCCUGGUUUCCAGUCCACUAGCAGACUUAAGCAUCUUAAAUAUCCAACACCAGGCUUCACCAGGGGUGGAGCAGCAGUGAGUGAAAUCAGGUGGGUGAUUUGAGAGGCUAAACAAAAGUCCAUGGUAUCCAAGAAAGAUGAUGGCGGAGGAAACAUCAGUUUUUGAAGACUCAGCUUGCCUGAAAACAUGGUGGUGUAUUAAAGAAAACAUGUGACCGCUGAACAGACCAUCAAUCUAAUUAAGAACAGUUAAUAUCACAACAGAAAGAAAGAGAAAGAAAGAUGAUUGAAUCCCUUCUUAGUCUCUUAAUAGAGCCUUGUGAAGCCUUUCUGGAAGCUGGAGACUAACACUCUGGAGACCAAAAAAACUAAGCAAUUUUGUCAACAACUAGAGAAUGACUUGACUUUAAAACAAAAUGUUU